AGCGUGACGCAGCAACGCCGCGUGGGGGAAGAAGGCCUUCGGGUUGUAAACCUCUUUCAGUUGGGACGAAGCUUCCGCGGUGAACAGCCGCGUGGAGUGACGGUACCUUCACAAGAAGCCCCGGCUAACUACGUGCCAGCAGCCGCGGUAAUACGUAGGGGGCAAGCGUUGUCCGGAAUCAUUGGGCGUAAAGCGCGUGUAGGCGGCUCGGUAAGUCUGUUCUGAAAGUCCAGGGCUCAACCCUGGGAUGCGGAUGGAUACUGCCGAGCUCGAGUCCGGAAGAGGCGAGUGGAAUUCCUGGUGUAGCGGUGAAAUGCGCAGAUAUCAGGAGGAACACCGAUGGCGAAGGCAGCUCGCUGGGACGUGACUGACGCUGAGACGCGAAAGCGUGGGGAGCAAACAGGAUUAGAUACCCUGGUAGUCCACGCCGUAAACGAUGGGCACUAGGUGUAGGGGGUGUCGACUCCCCCUGUGCCGAAGCUAACGCAUUAAGUGCCCCGCCUGGGGAGUACGGCCGCAAGGCUAAAACUCAA
rnacentral:rRNA from 1 species